rnacentral:lncRNA from 1 species
CAGCAGCAACAGGCUUUGCAGGCCCAGUGCCAAUACAGCAGCCACCAAUGCAAUGUCUGCUGCAGCCUGCCCCCUCCCAGGUCCUGCCCCAGCAGCUGCAGCAGAUACGUCAACCACACCACCACUAGCAGCUGCCAUAGUCCCGGCAACCUCCAGCUGCUCAGAACCAACCAUUGCAGCUCCCGCCACAGUCAGUCACAGACCCAGCCUUUGGUGUGGCAAGUGCAAGCAUUCCCUGGACAGAUGUAUGCCCAACAACAGCUGCAAUUUGUCUGAGCUCCAAGGGUAGUUCAGCAGCUGCAAGUGCAGCCCCGCUGCAGCCGGUGCAGUCCUGGACGCAGUAGCUGACAGUGGUGCGGACCGCUGAGGCUCCCCAGGUGGUGGCUCCCGGAGUCCAUGGUAGCCAGAGCAGCCUCCCCAUGAUGUCCUCGCCGUCGCAGGGCCAACAGGUGCAGACCCUGCAGUCGAUGUCCCCUCCCCGACUGCCGUCCUCACAACCCGACUAGCCCCGGUCUCACAGCCCAACUCCAACAUCAGCUCCGGCCCUGCCCCAGCGCCCAGUGGCUAGCUUCCUGCCCAGCCCCUCGCCGAAACCCUCCCAGAGCCCAGGGAUGGCGCACCAGAACUUCAGAGUCCCAUGACCCGGAUCUUUAAACGCCCCUAUGAAACGCGGCUCAGUCAUGAGCCCAGCGGGCUCCAGCCGGGCCGAGCAGCAGCAGUGCCUGGACAAGCUAAAGCCGCUGCCCAAGUACAGGGAGCCCCUGCGCCGCCUGAGCAACGGGAUCCACGGGAACCAAGACAGCAAAAGGGCUGCGGUAAGACGAGCCUUCUGGACGCUCUGACAGUCGGCUCCCAGCUGUGUCCCCUGGAGACCCUGUGGAAGCCUGAGAUCGCCCUGGAGAAACGCAAGCAUGACCUGGAGGUGCCCAAGCCCCGACUGCACCUGGUGCCGCUGACCACGCAGCAGCACUUGGCGCCUGCCGCUCCUGGAC